rnacentral:rRNA from 1 species
AUUGAACGCUGGCGGCAUGCUUUACACAUGCAAGUCGAACGGUAACAGCACUUCGGUGGCUGACGAGUGGCGAACGGGUGAGUAAUACAUCGGAACGUGCCUAGUAGUGGGGGAUAACUACUCGAAAGAGUAGCUAAUACCGCAUGAGAUCUAAGGAUGAAAGCAGGGGACCUUCGGGCCUUGCGCUACUAGAGCGGCUGAUGGCAGAUUAGGUAGUUGGUGGGAUAAAAGCUUACCAAGCCGACGAUCUGUAGCUGGUCUGAGAGGACGACCAGCCACACUGGGACUGAGACACGGCCCAGACUCCUACGGGAGGCAGCAGUGGGGAAUUUUGGACAAUGGGGGCAAGCCUGAUCCAGCAAUGCCGCGUGCAGGAUGAAGGCCUUCGGGUUGUAAACUGCUUUUGUACGGAACGAAAAGCCCUCUUCUAAUACAGGAGGGUCAUGACGGUACCGUAAGAAUAAGCACCGGCUAACUACGUG